GCAACCCGACUCCGUGAAGCUGGAUUCGCUAGUAAUCGCGCAUCAGCCAUGGCGCGGUGAAUACGUUCCCGGGCCUUGUACACACCGCCCGUCAAGCCAUGGAAGCCGGGGGCGCUUGAAGUGCGUUGCCGCAAGGCGCGCCCUAGAGCGAAACCGGUGACUGGGGCUAAGUCGUAACAAGGUAUC
rnacentral:rRNA from 1 species